UAUCUCCAAAGCGGAGGAAAAGAAACCAACCGGGAUUGCCUUAGUAACGGCGAGUGAAGCGGCAAAAGCUCAAAUUUGAAAUCUGGUACCUUCGGUGCCCGAGUUGUAAUUUGGAGAGGGCAACUUUGGGGCCGUUCCUUGUCUAUGUUCCUUGGAACAGGACGUCAUAGAGGGUGAGAAUCCCGUGUGGCGAGGAGUGCGGUUCUUUGUAAAGUGCCUUCGAAGAGUCGAGUUGUUUGGGAAUGCAGCUCUAAGUGGGUGGUAAAUUCCAUCUAAAGCUAAAUAUUGGCGAGAGACCGAUAGCGAACAAGUACAGUGAUGGAAAGAUGAAAAGAACUUUGAAAAGAGAGUGAAAAAGUACGUGAAAUUGUUGAAAGGGAAGGGCAUUUGAUCAGACAUGGUGUUUUGUGCCCUCUGCUCCUUGUGGGUAGGGGAAUCUCGCAUUUCACUGGGCCAGCAUCAGUUUUGGUGGCAGGAUAAAUCCAUAGGAAUGUAGCUUGCCUCGGUAAGUAUUAUAGCCUGUGGGAAUACUGCCAGCUGGGACUGAGGACUGCGACGUAAGUCAAGGAUGCUGGCAUAAUGGUUAUAUGCCGCCCGUCUUGAAC
rnacentral:rRNA from 1 species